GACGAACGCCGUCGGCGUGCUUAACACAUGCAAGUCGAACGGAAAGGCCCUGCUUUUGUGGGGUGCUCGAGUGGCGAACGGGUGAGUAACACGUGAGUAACCUGCCCUUGACUUUGGGAUAACUUCAGGAAACUGGGGCUAAUACCGGAUAGGAGCUCCUGCUGCAUGGUGGGGGUUGGAAAGUUUCGGCGGUUGGGGAUGGACUCGCGGCUUAUCAGCUUGUUGGUGGGGUAGUGGCUUACCAAGGCUUUGACGGGUAGCCGGCCUGAGAGGGUGACCGGCCACAUUGGGACUGAGAUACGGCCCAGACUCCUACGGGAGGCAGCAGUGGGGAAUAUUGCACAAUGGGCGGAAGCCUGAUGCAGCAACGCCGCGUGCGGGAUGACGGCCUUCGGGUUGUAAACCGCUUUCGCCUGUGACGAAGCGUGAGUGACGGUAAUGGGUAAAGAAGCACCGGCUAACUACGUGCCAGCAGCCGCGGUGAUACGUAGGGUGCGAGCGUUGUCCGGAUUUAUUGGGCGUAAAGGGCUCGUAGGUGGUUGAUCGCGUCGGAAGUGUAAUCUUGGGGCUUAACCCUGAGCGUGCUUUCGAUACGGGUUGACUUGAGGAAGGUAGGGGAGAAUGGAAUUCCUGGUGGAGCGGUGGAAUGCGCAGAUAUCAGGAGGAACACCAGUGGCGAAGGCGGUUCUCUGGGCCUUUCCUGACGCUGAGGAGCGAAAGCGUGGGGAGCGAACAGGCUUAGAUACCCUGGUAGUCCACGCUGUAAACGGUGGGUACUAGGUGUGGGGUCCAUUCCACGGGUUCCGUGCCGUAGCUAACGCUUUAAGUACCCCGCCUGGGGAGUACGGCCGCAAGGCUAAAACUCAAAGGAAUUGACGGGGCCCCGCACAAGCGGCGGAGCAUGCGGAUUAAUUCGAUGCAACGCGUAGAACCUUACCUGGGUUUGACAUGGAUCGGGAGUGCUCAGAGAUGGGUGUGCCUCUUUUGGGGUCGGUUCACAGGUGGUGCAUGCCUGUCGUCAGCUCGUGUCGUGAGAUGUUGGGUUAAGUCCCGCAACGAGCGCAACCCUUGUUCACUGUUGCCAGCACGUUAUGGUGGGGACUCAGUGGAGACCGCCGGGGUCAACUCGGAGGAAGGUGGGGAUGACGUCAAGUCCUCAUGCCCCUUAUGUCCAGGGCUUCACGCAUGCUACAAUGGCUGGUACAGAGAGUGGCGAGCCUGUGAGGGUGAGCGAAUCUCGGAAAGCCGGUCUCAGUUCGGAUUGGGGUCUGCAACUCGACCUCAUGAAGUCGGAGUCGCUAGUAAUCGCAGAUCAGCAACGCUGCGGUGAAUACGUUCCCGGG
rnacentral:rRNA from 1 species